CGGAGCCCAAAGGGGCGGCGGCUCCUCCCCCCGUCGAGGGCAAGGAGGAGCUCCCCGAGAAAUUAGAGGCGGAGGAGGCGGAGCAAGAGGACCGAGAGAUCGCCGCUCCGGAGGAGGAGGCCGAGGCUUCCGACGAGGAGGCUCUGCUGGUCGCCGCCGAGGCCCCGCCGGCUGCGUCGCCUCCGAGAGGCCAUGCCCGUGAUGUCCAUAUCCUGAGUUGUGGGUUCCUGCUCAUCUUCUCGGCCUACGGUGCUGCUCAGAAUCUCGAGAGCACCGUGAACACCGCGGAUAAUUUGGGCACGACAGGCAACGCAAGUAAAGAAGAAAGGCAGACAGGCAACGCAACAAAGAGAUAUAGAAUCUACAGUAGAGAACAUUAGUGAUUUGGAGGAUGAUCAAAGCCAUCGUGUGGGGAAGUCGCUUUUACACUCAGUGAAGUGGGAGCGCAUUAUUUUGGAUGAGGCUCACUUUGUCAAAGAUAGGCGAUGUAAUACUGCAAAAGCAGUUCUCGGACUGGAGUCUUCAUACAGAUGGGCUUUAAGUGGAACACCUCUUCAAAAUCGUGUUGGGGAGCUCUACUCUCUUGUUACUUUGAGGCGGGAUACACUGGACAUUAGAGAAGAGGAUUAUUACACAUCAUUGUACAAUGAGAGCCAAUCUAACCUUGUGCGGUGUGCAUAUUGAUUGGUAGGUAUUUCACUUUCUUCUCUGGGCUUGUGGGACUUUGAGUAUCGCAUUGUAUGUCAACAAGUGAAUGUCACUUCUUUGGAGGAGGUGAUGAAGCACUUCAUGCAAACCUUAUAGGAGAAAGCAGAGUGGGCGCAAGAUUGGAAGUAUCUUUUCAUACAUAUCGAGGAUAAGCUUUGCUUCAGCAUCUUCAAUGCCAGAAGUGCAGUUGGCCCAAUAUGUUCCUGCCCUGGAAAGAAUUGCCACCCUGAGAUUGCUUAAGCAAGUGCUUUAAAGUGCUCAAGAUUAUUUAUUCUCUCAUUAUGUGUACUAUAAAGAAAAAUAUAUAUGUCAUUCUUGGGGAAAAUGUAGAGGAAUGUAUUUCAUUUUCAUAUUAUUAUAAUAUUUUGAUGUUAUUAAGUGCUUAA